rnacentral:tRNA from 1 species
GGAGAGGUGGCCGAGUGGCUGAAGGCGCUCGCUUGGAAAGCGUGUAUACCUCAAAAGGGUAUCGCGGGUUCGAAUCCCGCUCUCUCCG